AAUAUCGGAACCAGCAUUUCGAACGGAAUUGUUCUCAUGUGACAUUGCAUAAUCCAAAGCUUUCAGAAGAUUAAAUUUAACGAAAGUAGCAAAUAAUGCAGAGCAGGACUGGAAUUGUAGCCCUUUAGCGAUGUUGCAAACCUGCUGAAUAAAGAAUAUACCGUCUUGCUUGCGUUGAUCAUCCUCGCCUUCAUUCACAUAAAUGCUAAACAGUUCAUGUAAAAAUUUUUCAUUUGUUUGAAGGUAUUGAAUAAUAUCAGCCUGGUUAAAGAAGAUAAAUGAAUUUAGCACCGAAAAGGAGGGUUCG